rnacentral:lncRNA from 1 species
CAAGUAAUCCCCUUAUAAAGGCUCAAAUCUCACAUAUAGAAGUUUGGUUCACAAAAAGAUAGUCCGCAUAGCACAUUAUGCUAAUUAUUAGCUUUCAAAAGACAACCCCAAUAUAACAUUGAACCAGUCUGUCAAAUAAUUUUUUUCUAGGAUCCCUCAAAGGCAUGAUCUCUAUUUUUAAACAUAAUUUUAAUCAAAACAAGCCAGAAAAAUGCAAUCAACUAGAACUAGCAAAUGUCAAGUGCCAAAAUAUAGACCCUCCCCCACACUAGUUCAGAACAUGGUCAAAAUUCAAAACAAAAUAUUCAACUAGACACAAAAGUAAAUAAGUGAGAGAGAGUAAAAGUAGCUUCCCUGAGAAAGCUUUCAACCAUUGAGGCGAGCGACAUAUCUCACUUGGAGUAACCCUUCAUCAUAAUGUUUUGCAACUGUCCGUUAACUUUGAAAGUAGUGUCAUCUUCUUUAGAAACCUCAAGUGCUCCAUGAGGAAGAACUCGAGUGACAGUGUAAGGUCUGAACCAUCUUGAGUGCAACAUUUAUUAAACAUACCAACAUAAUAAAAAUAUAAUAAACUAAAAUAUAAAACAAUAAACACGGGUUGCCUCCCGCGAAGCGCUUAUUUAACGUCCUGAGCUUGACGAGAGCCAAACAAUCAAUCAGGUGGCUCUCCAAGGGCAAAUUUCACCUUUAAUGCAUUGCCCCUUCUUAACUUUCUAAUUAUGUGGUUCAUAUUAUUCUUUCUUUUUCCAUGUGGUGGAUGAGCUUCAAAAAAUAGUGAAGUUUUC